UCCACUUCCCAAUAAAUAUUCAAUCUUCCUGGACAAUGAGUCCCUGGCACUUCGUUUCCACCCUUUCUCAUUGAAUUUCAAGAGCCAUCUAUCGCUGCCUUUCUACCUCCACCGGCAGAUCGUACUUACUAGUACUGAUUCCAAAUUGCGUCGCACUCACCUGUCUCUGGCUCCACUUGAUCCGACCAAGAUCUUGAUCUUCGCUGUCCGAGAUUCCCUGACUGCGCCACGCUUGGAGGACUUAAAUAACUCUAGCGUAGCCUGUACAAGCCACUCAAAUUGAUUCUGGGCUGCCGUUUCCAUCAUCACUCUAGUCCCAAUUCGACCAAUAACUACUUUGCUCAGUUCGGUUCUGCAAGGAGUUGCGACACCUGGUUUGGGGCAGAAUCACACUCCUAACCUGGCGCAGGUUGGCUGGUAGUUUUAUUAUUCCCUUUUCCUUUUUGUCGGGGGGAUCAGGUCGAAUAAUAAUAAAUUGAUAAUUGAAGAUAAAUUAAUCCAUACGCAGUUGCUGGGUGCCUCCCGGAUGCUGACUGUCUGGGUUUCGCCUCACUCACCUCCUCCAGCAGCCUACGCAGUAAGCGUUAGUUACACUUCCUUUUGUGGUUGCCCCGCCCUACUGUGCUGCGCCUGUUGUUGGCUCUUGAGCCGCUUAUCAUCCCAUCCCAUCUCCCUUUGACAUCGAACUUUUUCAGCCGCUUGGAACAACGAUCCAUCACACAUCAGCAUCAGUUUCAUUCCACGUUUUCAGGGUUUUCAUAUCUGUUGUUUUUGUCGACUGUCAUAUUUUUUUGGUUAUUUCGUAUACUUUUUUCUUUCUUUUUUCUGGGUUUUGUCCUCGAUCCAGGGUUGCUGAGAGAGCGGCUUUCUGACCAUCUCUCCGCACGGCCCUUGAGUCGUAGCGCCCAACUUCUCUCGCUAUGCGAUUUUUCCGUGGCUUGGUUCCAUUGAUAACCAGUGCUCUCUCAAUUUUUACUUCUAACGUUGAUGCACAUUCCGAAAGACGGAGUAACAUCGGCUAUCUUUCCCUCGUCGAACAACCUACUAUCCAUACUCCAUCCCAUCGAGUAAAUGCACUGUCACAUUUCGAUAUUACGUUCGAACUCCAUAAGAGACGGCAGCGGCUAAAACUUAGCUUAGAGCCUAAUCAUGAUAUCCUUCCCGACGAUGCCCAGGUGCACUUCCUGGACCAGGCUGGAAAUAUCCAGAAAUCAGAAUUCAUAAAGCGACAAGAUCACAAGGUAUUCAAGGGUUGGUCCUGGAUUCAAGUUGCUGAAGGAAACUGGGAACGGGCCGGUUGGGCCCGUGUGGUUGUCAAGAAAGAUUGGCUCAACCCUCUUUUCGAAGGAACCUUUACCGUAAACCAUGACCACCAUCACGUUCUGCUAAGAUCAAGUUAUGCCAAGUCAAAGCAUGAACUCGACAAGGAUGUGGAGGACACCACCGGGGAGUACAUGAUAGUUUUUCGGGAUUCUGAUAUGGAGU
rnacentral:sRNA from 2 species